AUGAAGGUUGAAAGAGAAAGAAGAUACGCACUUCUGCUUGCAGCAAAGGACUCUGAGUAUGUGAAGAAAGUGUACGGUGGUUACUUCAAUGUGUUUGUGGCAACUUUUGGGGAAGAAGGAGAGAGGUGGGACUUGUUCAGGGUAGUCGACGGUGAGUUUCCGGAAACGAGUGAGCUUCAAGAGUAUGAUGGGUUUGUGGUCAGUGGAAGCCCUUAUGAUGCUUAUGGCAAUGACCACUGGAUUAUAAAACUGUGCUUUCUCUUGCAAACUCUUGAUGCCAUGGAGAAGAAAGUCCUCGGAAUUUGCUUCGGUCAUCAGGUGUUGUGUAGAGCACUAGGAGGAAGAGUUGGGAAAGCUUGUACUGGGUGGGAUAUUGGACUGAGAAACGUGAAGAUUGUGAAGGACAUGAGUCCGUUUAGCUUCCUUGAUGGCUUGGAUGAAAUCCCAUCUGCCCUUUCGAUCAUCGAGUGUCACCAGGACGAGGUUUGGGAAGUUCCUUUGGGUGCUCAAGUUAUCGCCUUUUCAGACAAAACUGGAGUAGAGAUGUUCACCAUUGGAGGUCAUGUUCUGGGCAUCCAAGGCCAUCCAGAGUAUACUAAUGAUAUCCUUUCCAAUCUGAUCGAUCGCCUUCUCAAUAACAACUCCAUUGAGAUAGGUUUUGCUGAAAAUGCAAGGUUCGGACUGCAAAAAGCUGAGCCAGAUAGGAAGUGCUGGGAGAAAAUCUGCAGGAAUUUUCUUAAAGGAAGAUAGCUAGAUUCGAUCACCAGCAAGUGA